rfam:Triticum aestivum genome assembly, contig: Triticum_aestivum_CS42_TGACv1_scaffold_641196_T_3B-0.151907_2BS-0.128531
CUAGUACUCCCUCUGUUCGGAAAUACUAGUCGUAGAAAUGGAUGUAUCUAGAUGUAUUUUAGUUCUAGAUACAUCCAUUUCCGAGACAAGUAAUUCCGAACGGAGGGAGUAUCUC